AUCUGUCAGGUGUUUUUGCACCUGAGACACCUUUUAUGUCUCUAAACGUCCAGAUGCUUCAGGAUCCUAUCUGCUUCCCAUGACGCUCUCAAAAAGCUUUGCAAGAGUUUCUCAGCCUCGUCUCUGUCGACAUUUGGGGUCGUAGCCUCCUUUGCAGGGGGGCGGGGGGGCCUUCUGUGCCUUGUAGGAUGUAGUGCUGAUAUCCACGCACUGGAUAACAGAAGCGCAUCCCCCUGGCUGGUGUGGCAAACAAAAAUAUCUUCAGACACUGACAGAUGUUCCCUGGCGAGGGUGGGCAGGGGGAUUUCCCCUUAUUUCAGAGCCACAGGGGUAGAGUCACCCAGGCCUGGGGUCCGUCCUGCCCCUCUGCGUCCCUCUAGCUCAGAAAACAGGGCCCGAUUGAUAGUGCCCCUCAAGGCACGCUGACAAUUUGGUGCCAUAAUCUCCCAGACGCACUGCUGGGUACACACCAGCUGGCCAAUAGAUCAGGUUCAUCAUCCAGUUCUGUCUGGACUUGGCAGGGGAGGCACGGAGCUGGGUCCAGCUGGCAGAACCAGCCUCCAAACAACCCAGCAUGUGCGGUCCCAGCCCCUGUCCACGCGCGGUCCCAGCCCCUGUCCAUGCGCGGUCCCAGCUCCUGUCCCUGGGAGCCACUCCAGACAGUUCUGGAUUCCUCCCUGGGAAUGGCCCAGAGGCCCAGAAGCUGCCAGAAGGAAUUUCCUCCACUGCAUCCUGGUUCUUUGAAGGUAACCCGAGAGGCCGCUGGAAAAUUCCGGGCACAGGAAAUGCAAAUGGGCACAUGGCGGGAAGCAGGCAGGGACGUCACACCCAUAGGUGAGCAGACAUCGAGGCCCUCUUGUCCCAAGUGCUGACCCUGGAGCCCCCCCUCCCCCCAGGGCACCUCCCCCAGCACCUGUGGACCAGGGAGCCGGGCUGAGAGCCAGGAGGCAUCCUCGCGCUCGCCACCUCCCGUGUGGACCCAAAUCAAGCUCGUUCUCCUUCCGAAUCCCCCUCAAAGCCGCCCACUGCUCUCCCUCCCCUGCCUGGGCUAGGCCACCACCCUCUGGCCCAGGUAACGGCAGGACCCUUAACCAGCCUUCCGACCUCCAGGAGCGCAGCCCGUUUCCAUUCUCUCCCCGCCCAGCCAGAGAGAUCUUCCAGAAACAAAGCCCAGUCCUUGCCACCCCCCCACCCCCUACAGCCUCCCAUGGCUCCUCAUGGAGCGAAACCUAAAGUUCUUUCUAAACCCAGGUCUUGGAACCCAAUCCACACCGGCCUCCAUCUCGGGCUUCCUUAUUAGGGCCCCUCCCCACCCCCACCCGCGCCCCGCCCAUUGGCUCUCCUUGCCCCAGACACGUGGAAUCGCUUCCGGUCCCCCCUGCAGCCCAGGGCUUGCCCCUGGGUGCCCCGGCCUCACCCGUCUUGCGGGCGUCUGCUAAGCCUCACUUCCUGGAAACCCUCCUGGACUCUAAGUCCAAGUUCACCCGGGCUCCCCCCAGGGAGCACAGGCCACACCGCUUCCUACCUACGAUUUUGUCUGCCGCCCAAGAGACCCGAGCUCUGCAAUGGCUUCCCACGCCUGCCACGGUGCGUGGUCCCAAACAGAUGCGCCGCAGAGAGCAGGUGAUGUCAGGUGAUGUCAGGUGCAGGGGGCGGGUUUCGCCUGACUGUGCCGGGCGGGGGCAGCGUGCUGUGCUAGGCUGUUCCGCGGCUGGCUGACGGGGUGGGUGGUUACUUACCGACAGCCCUUCAUGGCUCACGCUGGGGGGUGGGCACAGCUGAUCCCCCCUUCUGCGAUCUCAGCCAAGACAAGACUCAGAGCCUUCUUGGGGCGCCCGGGUGGCUCCAUCGAUUAAGCCUCCGACUUCAGCUCAGGUCAUGAUCUCAAACUUUCGUGGGUUCGAGUCCCACGUCGGGCUCUGUGCUGACAGCUCAGAGCCUGGAGCCGGCUUCGGAUUCUGUGUCUCCCCGUCUCUCAGCCCCUCCCCUGCUCACACUCUGUCUCUCUGUCUCUAAAUAAUAAAUAAAUGUUUUAAAGAAAUAAAAAAAGAAAG
ensembl:lncRNA